rnacentral:rRNA from 1 species
UACGAAGGGGGCUAGCGUUGCUCGGAAUCACUGGGCGUAAAGGGUGCGUAGGCGGGUCUUUAAGUCAGAGGUGAAAUCCUGGAGCUCAACUCCAGAACUGCCUUUGAUACUGAGGAUCUUGAGUUCGGGAGAGGUGAGUGGAACUGCGAGUGUAGAGGUGAAAUUCGUAGAUAUUAGGAAGAACACCAGUGGCGAAGGCGGCUCACUGGUCCGGUACUGACGCUGAGGUGCGAAAGCGUGGGGAGCAAACAGG